rnacentral:rRNA from 1 species
GAUGAACGCUAGCGACAGGCCUAACACAUGCAAGUCGAGGGGCAGCAUGGUAUCAGCUUGCUGAUACCGAUGGCGACCGGCGCACGGGUGAGUAACGCGUAUGUAAUCUGCCUGUAACAGAGGGAUAACCCGGAGAAAUCCGGCCUAAUACCUCAUAGCACAUAUUAUUCGCAUGAGUUUUAUGUUAAAGAGACUCGGUUACAGAUGAACAUGCGUUCCAUUAGCUGGUUGGCGGGGUAACGGCCCACCAAGGCAACGAUGGAUAGGGGUUCUGAGAGGAAGGUCCCCCACACUGGUACUGAGACACGGACCAGACUCCUACGGGAGGCAGCAGUGAGGAAUAUUGGUCAAUGGGCGAGAGCCUGAACCAGCCAAGUCGCGUGGAGGAAGACGGCCCUACGGGUUGUAAACUCCUUUUACCUGGAAUAACGGGCGCUACGCGUAGCGCUGUGGCAUGUACCGGGAGAAUAAG